rnacentral:rRNA from 1 species
GAUGAACGCUGGCGGCGUGCCUAAUACAUGCAAGUAGAACGCUGAAGCUUGGUGCUUGCACCGAGCAGAUGAGUUGCGAACGGGUGAGUAACGCGUAGGUAACCUGCCUCUUAGCGGGGGAUAACUAUUGGAAACGAUAGCUAAUACCGCAUAAAAGUCGAUAUCGCAUGAUAUUGAUUUGAAAGGUGCAAAUGCAUCACUAAGAGAUGGACCUGCGUUGUAUUAGCUAGUUGGUGAGGUAACGGCUCACCAAGGCGACGAUACAUAGCCGACCUGAGAGGGUGAUCGGCCACACUGGGACUGAGACACGGCCCAGACUCCUACGGGAGGCAGCAGUAGGGAAGCUUCGGCAAUGGGGGCAACCCUGACCGAGCAACGCCGCGUGAGUGAAGAAGGUUUUCGGAUCGUAAAGCUCUGUUGUAAGAGAAGAACGAGUGUGAGAGUGGAAAGUUCACACUGUGACGGUAACUUACCAGAAAGGGACGGCUAACUACGUG